rnacentral:rRNA from 1 species
UACGUAGGGGGCCAGCGUUGUCCGGAAUCAUUGGGCGUAAAGCGCGCGUAGGCGGCCAGAUAGGUCCGGUGUGAAAGUCAAAGGCUCAACCUUUGAAUGCCGCUGGAAACUGCCUGGCUUGAGUCCGGAAGGGGCGAGUGGAAUUCCUGGUGUAGCGGUGAAAUGCGCAGAUAUCAGGAGGAACACCAAUGGCGAAGGCAGCUCGCUGGAACGGUACUGACGCUGAGGCGCGAAAGCCAGGGGAGCGAAUGGG